rnacentral:rRNA from 1 species
GACGAACGCUGGCGGCGUGCUUAACACAUGCAAGUCGAACGGAAAGGCCCUGCUUUUGUGGGGUGCUCGAGUGGCGAACGGGUGAGUAACACGUGAGUAACCUGCCCUUGACUUUGGGAUAACUUCAGGAAACUGGGGCUAAUACCGGAUAGGAGCUCCUGCUGCAUGGUGGGGGUUGGAAAGGUUCGGCGGUUGGGGAUGGACUCGCGGCUUAUCAGCUUGUUGGUGGGGUAGGGGCUUACCAAGGCUUUGACGGGUAGCCGGCCUGAGAGGGUGACCGGCCACAUUGGGACUGAGAUACGGCCCAGACUCCUACGGGAGGCAGCAGUGGGGAAUAUUGCACAAUGGGCGGAAGCCUGAUGCAGCAACGCCGCGUGCGGGAUGACGGCCUUCGGGUUGUAAACCGCUUUCGCCUGUGACGAAGCGUGAGUGACGGUAAUGGGUAAAGAAGCACCGGCUAACUACGUG